GUCCCCGUAGCUCAGCAGGAUAGAGCAUCGGAUUCCUAAUCCGGGGGUCGCACGUUCGAAUCGUGUCGGGGACGCCA
rnacentral:tRNA from 1 species